UCCAGAGUGUUCAGAAAUAUCAAAUAUGAGCUGAAUAAGUAGUGGAAAGACAAGGAUUCAUCCGUUCCACAGACUACAAACCUGGCCGAUAGAGGGAAUAUUUCAUUUUAGAUCAAAUGAUUCACUGUCAUCUUUGUCUGAUAUUACAACAUAGUGACCACACAACUAUCCUCAAUGGUAUUUGACUACAUGGAUUCUGUAAAAAGAUGAAGCUUAAGAACACUAUUUUUUUUC
rnacentral:lncRNA from 1 species